rnacentral:rRNA from 1 species
CGUAGGGUGCGAGCGUUAAUCGGAAUUACUGGGCGUAAAGCGUGCGCAGGCGGUUUUGUAAGCAGGCGUGAAAUCCCCGGGCUCAACCUGGGAACUGCGCUUGUGACUGCAAGGCUAGAGUACGGCAGAGGGGGUGGAAUUCCACGUGUAGCAGUGAAAUGCGUAGAGAUGUGGAGGAACACCAAUGGCGAAGGCAGCCCCCUCGGGUCGAUACUGACGCUCAUGCACGAAAGCGUGGGUAGCAAACAGGAUUAGAUACCCUGGUAGUCCACGCCCUAAACGAUGUCAACUAGGUGUUGGGUGGGUAAAACCAUUUAGUACCGGAGCUAACGCGUGAAGUUGACCGCCUGGGGAGUACGGCCGCAAGGUUA